CUCGCUCCAAACUCCAAAGUACUCCAAAGAUGAAGCUGUUCAUUGCUAUCACCCUUUUCGCCAUGGUCAUGUUCGUUAACUGCCAAGAAGCUGAAACCGAAGCAGAAGCUGAACCCGAAGCAGAAGCUGAACCCGAAGUAGAAGCUGAAGUCGAAGUAGAAGCAGAAGCAGAUGACGCUGAUGCCGGCGCCUCCUCAAUCCAGCUGGCUCUCCUUGCUCUGGUACCAGUAGUUGCCCGACUUGUCUAGGAACGUCAGGCAGCGGUCCCCCGCUGCAAUUCGCAGAGAUUGAGCAACUACUUCCUUAUACGGACGAAGCGGAGGAUUUCAUGCUAAUCAGACACGAAUUCAAAAACUUUCGGUCACUUAAAUUAUACGUUCGGGUAAAUUUAGGUGAUUUCAGUGUUCAAAUUUAAACCAUGGCCGUGGUGAUUUUGUCAUUUUGCUUUCUUUUUACUAUUUGACUUUUAUGAUUAUCUUUUCUUAA